UUUGCUAAGAAUAAUUUGCAGCUUCCCAUUACAGAUAACACUGUCAUUUUUUUUGCGUGCAUAAGGAAAGGAUGAAUGGGUCGAUCUAUGAUUUUUAUAAUGCUUUUAAAAAUUCGUAACAUAGGUAAAAAUAUUUCCGAAUGUGUGGUUUUACGCAGCUGUUUUAUGUAUCGUGUGUAAUGCAUACAAAAAAAGUAGAAACACACAACGAUAGAGUAUUAAUCGUUGAUUAAAAUGGUGUAAAAAAAUACAUAGGUCACCGCUGAAAAACUCCCAGAAUUCUUCUACGACGAAAAGCAUUUCCGCACAUUUAUUCUGCCGGGAAGUGUCUCCCUCGCGCGGCGUAUUCUUCAGCCGGCGACUGGAGCCGAGGAGUGGGGCUAGCGGCUGCUGUGAAGGCAGCGGAGGGGAAGUUCGUCUGACGGCUGCUCGGUCGCCUUAUCAGCGCGUCGGGGUAUCGGAUAUCGCGAUAAGCACAUGUAUUCGCAGGAAUAGUGUCUACCACUGAGGCCGCCUGGUCGGGAAGGGUCAUUCCAUGCCAAAUCAACCAGAAAAUAAUAAUUUUUGGCAUCACCAUCUCAGAAUUAAAAAAAACUCGGCAAAUUAGCAGUAGGUGUGCAGAAAAGUGCAUUAGCAAAGUUAAAGCCCCCUGUGAAUAAUACUUUUUAUACAGCAGGGUUGCCAACUUGUGGAAAAAGUGGAAUUUUUGCUGCGCGAGGUCCAAUAAAAAUAUUUGUAACUUCCUUUGUAGUUGAGUGAGAACCUUGAAGUAGGGCUCAAUAGAAAGCUAGAAAAGUGUCCUUUGAGAUAAAAAUAAGUUUUACGAAUUUUAGAAGAAAUUUGUUUCAAGGUCAUGGUCAUGUAACAUGUGACCUUGAAAAUUUUUGAAAAGUAUAUUUUUGAAAAAUGUGAAAAAAUUAUAUGUUAUGAAGUGCGUUAUUGGUCUAAGUGACAUAAGUUUCAUUUUGGGAUGGAUCUGGGAUCAAACACUAGAACAUUGUGAAUUAGGCCAUGUUCACUAAAACUACUCUAGUAAGGCAUUAACACAAUUCCACUUUUUCCACAAAUUGGCAACCCUGCUGUAUAAAAAGUAUUAUUCACAGGGGGCUGUAACUUUGAGAAUUCACUUUCCUGAACCUGUACUGUUAAAGCCCUAAGUUUCAUUGAAUUCGGUGAUGGUGAUGUCAGCAGGUGUGUGAAAUGGCAUUGAAUGACCCGGAAGUAAUAAAUUCUAGGAUUCAGGCAGUUAUUCCCAGAGAAAACCUCAACCAUUCUACGCCCACCAUAUCGCGCGGCGAGAAGACUCAGUAAGGCAUACUCGGAGCCAAGUGGAGGUUACCUGUAGGCGGAAAAAGUUGAGCGACUGUUAUUUUUACCCCUUGUUAGAUCGAUAUUUGGCUUUGUAACAGCAUCGAGAAGUACUAUUAUAUGCACGAUUUCUUUUUCAAGGAUGGAGUUAAAAAGAAACUGGAGAAAAUAAAGAAGAAUCAUCUUUAUAUUUAUGCAACAAGAAAGAAAAAUGAAGCUACUCAUCUCAAAGCAUACUGGAGUCAAAGGAAUAAAACUAUACCUAAACAAAACCAUGUCAAUGAAGAAUUGGAAAACCAGAGCCUAUCAAGAAUUCACUGCAGCCAUCAAGAACUGAUUGAAAACGAAAUAACUUCCGGAGUGCAUGAAGUAGUGUACUAUGAAGAAAGCUAUCCGGCAAAGAAAAAAUUUAAACUUGAUAGCUGCAGUUAUCAAGUUCCGGAAGGUAGAGACUCACGAUGACACCUUGGCAGCCAGGGAGUAAAAACGGCACAAGAAAUUUCUUCAAGAGAAAAUGACACAUCAGAUGAAGAGAAUAACUACUCUGUAACCAAUGUCCUGCACAAUGAAGAUGGGCAGUGUAUGUAAGUCCCUUAGCCCACUUUAAAAAUAAGUUAAUUACAAAGUGUUUUUAAUACAUGCUAUUUUUCUUUCUUCAACUAUUUCCUGAAAAAUUGUUUACUUUUUUUCCUUCGUAUCAUUUGCACACGGUCGGGUAGUUAUAAUAUUACACGAAACUAGACAUUCUUUCGAAACUAUAUUUCUAUCUAAAUAAAUCAAUAUAAAUAGUUAAAUGUUAUUGCUACUGUAAUGUGGCUCUUUCAGCUCUACAGCCAUGUCUUACACAGAAAUGCAACCGCCUCUGAAACUAUUUGAGAUGGAAGCAGGAUGUUCUUUCUGGUCAACCACCGAAGGAGCCAUUGACAUUCCAUAUGAGCUGGUGGACAGGAAUGAGCCAACUGUAGACAGUAGAUGUAUCAACAAUUCAGAGACAAGCAAUCAGGUUAGCUGAAUAACAAUUAUAUUGCUUUUAAUUAUAUUGACCUGUUAAAAAAUUACAGUUAAGUUAUAAUUUAACUUUACGAAUAUACUUCAAUUGAAAAAUUACACAACUACUCAAACUACAUAAAUGUUUUUAUCAGAAAUUUCACUAAAAACAGGGCAAAAAAAUGAAUACAGUAAAAAAUCUUAUCCCCAUUUAGUGACAAUAGACAGCAUAUUUUACUGACCUUACUUAAAAGUGAUACACCAUCCCCAGUUAAAACAUAAACAGCAUUCAUAAGAACACUGAUUUAAGCACUGAAAAUGUUUAUAUUGUAGCAAGACUUUUCAAAGUAUGCAUCAUACAUUGGACAAAAAACUAUUAAAGAUACUACAGAUACUAUAAGUACUUUUACUGCUAUCAAUAUUCCUGUUUUAUUC